rnacentral:rRNA from 1 species
GAUGAACGCUGGCGGCGUGGAUAAGGCAUGCAAGUCGAACGGUAACAGGCCGCAAGGUGCUGACGAGUGGCGAACGGGUGAGUAAUGCAUCGGAACGUGCCCAGUCGUGGGGGAUAACGCAGCGAAAGCUGCGCUAAUACCGCAUACGAUCUAUGGAUGAAAGCGGGGGACCGUAAGGCCUCGCGCGAUUGGAGCGGCCGAUGUCAGAUUAGGUAGUUGGUGGGGUAAAGGCUCACCAAGCCAACGAUCUGUAGCUGGUCUGAGAGGACGACCAGCCACACUGGGACUGAGACACGGCCCAGACUCCUACGGAGGCAGCAGUGGGGAAUUUUGGACAAUGGCGCAAGCCUGAUCCAGCAAUGCCGCGUGCA